rnacentral:rRNA from 1 species
AUUAAGUUUAAUUUAAUAUAGGAUCUGCUCAAUGAUUUAUUAAAUAGCUGCAGUAUUUUGACUGUGCAAAGGUAGCAUAAUAAUUAGUCUUUUAAUUGAGGACUUGAAUGAAAGAUUUGAUGAGAAAUAAACUUUAUUAUUUAUAUAGUUAAAAUUUUAUUUUUAAGUAAAAAAGCUUAAAUUAUUUAAAGGGACGAUAAGACCCUAUAAAACUUUAUAAAUAUAAAUUUUAAUUUUUUUGGGAUUAUAGUUAUUUUAAUUUUGUUAUUUAUUUUAUUGGGGUGAUAAAAAAAAUUAUUAAACUUUUUUUAAAAUUUUACAUUAAUUAAUGAAUAUUUGAAUUAAAAUUUUUAAUUAAAGGAAAAAGUUACUUUAGGGAUAACAGCGUAAUUAAUUUUUUAAGUUCAAAUUUAAAAAUUAGUUUGCGACCUCGAUGUUGAAUUAAGAUUAAUCUUAGGUGCAAAAUUUUAAGUAUUAGGUCUGUUCGACCUUUAAAUUCUUACGUGA